rnacentral:rRNA from 1 species
UACCCGUGCGGCGUCGCGGGCGCGGGCGCCGUCGACCGCGCGUGGUUGCGGUACGCCUUGAGGAGGAUGAGGCGCCUGCGGCCGCGGCUGCCCCUGCUGCUGGAGCGCCGGAUACCGGCGUAGGUCGAGUCGCAGCUGGCGCGCCGGGCGCGGAGGGGACCGCGGCCCCGGUCCAUGCGCAGCGUCUGGUCGAAGGCGUAGGUGCCGCCGGCGCCGCCGCCCCUCCUCCAGCGGCUCGAGAAGGCGGUCGAGCCGGAGAGGCCGGGGCUCCUGAAGCGGUAGGGCGGCCGGCAGAUGCGGCGGCGGUUGCGGCGGGCGGCGGCGCGGAGCGAGCUCCUCAGCCGGGGACGCCGCAGUGGCAGCCUCCAAGGACUCUAAAGCCCUGCGCUGCAGUAGCAGCGGAGAUCCAACGUCGGUCGGCCGCUGCCCCUCCUUCGACCCAAUCGGUGGCUUAACCAGGUUAGCCUCUGAUAUGUUCAAAGUCGUUUUCGUAUAGUUGCUGGUACCCGACUUAGGUUUCGGUAUAACCAGCUUAGUCUCUCUCACCUUUGGAGAUGUGCUCUCCAGUGACGACACAGACUCGGCCGCUUACGUCCACUUCCCUUCCCCUUACCGUUUAACCGGUUUCACCUUUGUAGUGCUCUCCUCUCCUGUUCUCUUCACCAACACCUCCGGUGUUCCCUCUUCCGAUGACCACGGGACCGGGAGCAACAACGUCUCAGGUUAAGUACACUGUAACUCGUAAACCAGAGCGGUAGCGGCUUAUCCGCCAAAUCCUCUUGGUAGUGUAGGACCUAGUUCCCUCUCGUAUAGCCCUCGCCUAGCAAGCCCAGUCAGAUGCUCCGCUAGUCGCUACUACCCAAAAAGAAACGACAGUUCCUCCACAGUAAUGAACUGGUUCCUUAGUUACGUUUUGUCGCGUAGCAGGUCGAACUCGUACUCCAUAGGGAGAACUCAGCAAACCUCGUACUGUUAUAACAAGUCAUAAUACCUUGUCUGUUCCUUCUACCUUUUAACAUAUAAAAAGAACUUGAACACUGGGUUCCGAGAAACCGUCGAAAUAUAGUUUUUAUAACAAAUGUUCUAAGAGUUCAUAGUCGUAUAUGUUCCGUCUAAAACUUACCAAACUUGAUAGAUGUAGUCGCUUUACAGGACGUGUCCCUGUAAUUUACACGUUUAUAGGAUCAACUACGUUUACCAAACCAGUUCAACCGUCUAAAACCGGAACGCUUCCUCUACAGUUAAAACUCGGUUCGUUCUAGAUCGUUCCCUUGACAGAAGACCUACCGGGGACUCCAACGAUUCCGAUUCGGUGUACCUGGAGGUCGUCUAUAUACCUCAGAACCGACGUGUCAAAACCUCUACGACUGGCCGUUUCAAGGUAUGGGACUAUACCUUACCUGUGUACGAAACGAGUUUUAACCAUCCCCUUAUGGUGGUUUUUAGGGGUUAUGCAAUAGUCUUCUACGUGCCCUAAAGUAUCGUUUCACACAAGUUCGUUUGGUUUUCCUGGCCGGUAGACGACGAGUCGACAACCUCGUGGGAAAACACUUCUCUGGUGACGUUGUAAUUCCGCACGCGACAUGUAUAACGAUUGUGUAAACGAACAUGUAUUCGACCAAAAUUAAAGCGUACACCUUUCCACACCCACUAUGGCCCCUCACUUCUACUAGGAUGUCGGGUUUUCACAAGGAACAAGUGCGAGGGCGAAAUUAACAAAGGGCCUCUAAGGUUGUAACUCUAUCGAUCGAAGGUUGUACUCCUCGUGGAUAGCCGUAAGUCAACUUUCCAUCGAGACGUUAUACUCACUCUAUAUCAAAUGAAUUCUCCAUGAGGGAGGCAAGCCUUAAUGAGUAGGUUCUUUACUUACACACUGUUCAUUAAGGCUUGCCUCCCUCAUGGAACAACCGACUAUCCUAAACAAAGAGUACCUCGAGCAUCGGAUCAGAGUCUCACCUUACUUUCUACACGUCACACCUCACGGUUCACGAGGGUGUUGUCAGGUGAAAGGCUGGCACAAAUGUAUGGACAUGUCAAGUGUAAGACAACGGUUACGUUUGACUAGCAUAACAGGUACAACAACUGAUGAGGGAGGCAAGGUUUUAUUCAUUAAACUUGAUUUUGGUGCCGUCCGUCCGCCGUGAAUAAAACCUUGCCUCCCUCAUAAAGUGACACUGGAACGAG